GCAACUUCGUUCUUUGUUCUCGGUUCUUCCUCGACGUGCUCGCUUUUGUUUGUUUGGCAACGGCUCAACCAAUAUCGGUGAGAGAAUGUCUAGUGACAUUAAACGAUCGGAGGACUAUAAUUUUUAUCGGGGGCGAGUUCAAACUUCCAGAUGUCCUUGCCGCUCUAGAAAUGAGUGAGGAGGAAAAGGAGGCGGCUGGUCGGGCGACCGCUGAGGAUUCCUGGAAGGUGAGGUUUGCUUUUAAGAUGGGGAAUGUGAGAAAGUCUAUCAAAGACGAGCCAGAUGUGGACAGAGCACGCAGCAAAUACGGUCGCAAGAGACCGGCUAGUGAGACUCAAGCUGCCCAGGCCAAAAGACUGUGUCGGGCUUUGGAUCUGACACCAAAUCAUUGCACUGCAAUGGAAGAUGAUGCCCAUCAUGCAAAUACGGUGGAAGCAAUCAAGUGCAGUCUCAGCAGUGUACCGGAGCCCAAUAUUGAGCAGCUGAUGGAGCAAAUGGGAAGCACGUUCGGCACCGACGGCAGUGGAUAAAGGACGCAUUACCAUCACUGGCGGGAUGUCCUCAUGGAGUACCCUGCCUUGAACCGUGCAGAUAUGGUAUGCAUCUUAAAGCUCAGCCCUACAGAUUUUAGAGUGUCAUCAAAUUCAAUAGCAGUCACAAUGUAUGUUCUUCGGGAACACUGAUUGUGCUUACACCCGAUACUACACCCGAACUGUCCCCAGUAUUUUUUUAAGUGUCACCAAUGUCCUGUGUAGUCGUCUGCAAACACUAUGUUUGAAUAUAGUAUUUGCUUCUCUGACCAAGCCAAUCCGCAGCAUCCAAAGAUACGAAGGAAUAGAAUGAUGUGUGUCUCCACGAGAUUCUGGGAAAGCUGUAGCCGUAAUUCACUGGAAAGUAUGAGAAGUAUGAAUCUGCGGCAUAAUGUAUGUAUCGGUGUAUGUCAUAAAAAAAUUGUUCACACACAAGUAUGUAUGUGAUUGGGUUAAUCAAAUUUAUGUGAUACAAUGCAGUACCGAGGAAAGAAAGGCACACUUCGAGGACAGUUCAACGGAGGUGUUUAGAAUAUCAACACCUUUCGGCACACCAGGAAAUCUGUACAGCUGACCUUAAAGCAAGAAUGGUGCACAUGAUGCUAACAUGCAUGAAUUAAUUGUAGCUGCACAAAGAAUUUACCAGCAUAACUGGCGUAGCUGCUGAGAAGGCAGUGCUAAUGUUUAUCAACCAGUAUGGGGAAAAGUGCGUCCAGAAGGCUCACAAGCAGAAGAGCGCCAGGGAUGCAAUCAUGGACACAGAGGCCCAACUUUCUACACUAGAUGGUGAUGUAAAAAAUAUUGCUUCGCCAUCGGAGUCAUGACAAUUCUGCCCAGACUUCUGAAGGACCACCCUUAUUUUCUCAGGGGCCCUGAUGCUUAUCCCGCUUUAGUCAUUGAGGGUGACCCACUCCAUGAAGCCACUGAGGUCAUGGUAAGGUUCGAGGACCUUUCUAUACGAGCCUUAGACAUUGUGGAUGGCAUCGCACUCCUGUUCGCAAUCUGCUGGACGUUCAACGUCCAGUAUUCACCAAGGAACAAGAACACGCUCUCGGUAUUAGAAAAAAAUGUUUGGCAUUCAUUCAACCUUGCCAGUGUCCAGAACAGCUGCGAAUGUACUGAAGGCUUUGAAAGAUAAUACUUGAAGUUUAUAUGUGUUCAUGUGGGAAAUGCAGACCGAUGGAUACUACGGACCAGUGUUUUUGCUGCCGAGAGGUAGAGAAUGCGUGUGAAAAGCAGAGAGACAAUUCCAUCACAACUAACGAAUAUUUCGAAAUACUGUGCCUUGACACCGAAGUCUUGCAAGUGUAUUUUACAUACAUCCGAGAAACCGAAGAGCAUGGUAACAUACGCGGCAGCGCCGUGUGGUAUUUACGCGCUACUUGAACGGCAAACUGGACGGAAAACCCUUAUUUCCGCAGGACAUUCCGUUAUAUCACCUGUCGGCUAUUCACAAGAAGGAUAUGGCGUGCUCUGAGAAAGUACAAUAGAAAGUAUUCUUCCUGCCUUGGUCGUGCAUGCUAUUAGAGAUGCUUUCCCCAUCAGUGUGCAGACUUGUAGAAAUGUAUAUAUUGAUGUCAGCGAACUUUCAUUUCUUGCUUGCUGCAAGUUUUCUUAUUGCUUAUUCUUUGCAGUCACAGCAUAUUAUAAUUAUUAUUUUUUCCCUGGAGGGUUAAGUAACCCUCCUGGGGGCAUAUGUAUAUUUGUAUAUUAUGCUCAUGUCUUGUAUAUAUCAGCGUCGUUCAGCUGAACUGUGUUCAUAACCAUUUAAUAUGCUUCUUAUUGACCAGGUUUCCAAAUGCCAAUUAAUGUUUGAACCGAGAUUGGGAUUUAACACCUAAUUAACUCUGGUUUGCUAAAAAGCGUACUUGUAACUGAUUCAGUUUCAUGUCACCAACUAACAUUUGUAAAGGAGGACUUGAGGGCUGACUUCAAGUAUUAGCAACCCUUGAUCUGGGUUCAAAGUUAACCAUGCAGCAUUGGUGUGGGCAAUAGUACUCCAAAAUGGCUACAUAAUUAAUUCCGUAAGUUCUCCGUUACUGUAAUUGAGAUGUACUUUUGUAAAGUACUUUUGACAGCCCUGCAUAUUGAAACUGGCUUCAGUGUACACGACAAACGUAUCGUAACAUUUAAUUGAAAUAUAAUAUAAGAACAGAAGCAACAUUUUGUCAAAACUCAAACUAUAUAUCUCU